ACACCAGGUGGCACCAGAAUGGCUCCAGGAUGGUACUGAGAUGGACAGGUGACACCGAAAUGGAGCCAAGAUGGCACCAGGGGACACUGGGAUGGCACCAGGUGGCACCAGGAUGGCACUGAGAUGGACAGGUGACACUGGGAUGGCACCAGGUGACACCAAAUGGAACCAGGUGACACCAGGAUGGCACUGGGAUGGACAGGUGACACCAAAAUGGCACCAGGAUGGCACUAAGAUGGCACCAGGUGACACCAAAUGGAACCAGGUGACACCAGGGUGGCCCAGGACAUGGCCAGGUGACACCAGGAUGGCACUGGGAUGGAUAGGGGACACUGGGAUGGCACCAGGUGGCACCAGGAUGGCACUGAGAUGGACAGGUGACACUGCAAUGGCACCAGGUGACACCAAAUGGAACCAGGAUGGCACUGAGAUGGACAGGUGACACCACAAUGGCACCAGGAUGGUACUGAGAUGGACAGGUGACACCACAAUGGCACCAGGAUGGCACCAGGUGGCACCAGGAUGGCUCAGGACAUGGCCAGGUGACACUGGGAUGGCACCAAGAUGGACAGGUGACACUGGGAUGGCACCAGGUGGCACCAGGAUGGCCCAGGACAUGGCCAGGUGACACCGAAAUGACACCAGGGGACACUGAGAUGGACAAGUGACACCAAAGUGGCACCAGGAUGGUACUAAGGUGGCACCAGGCGACACCAAAUGGCACCAGGUGGCACCAGGAUGGCUCAGGACAUGGCCAGGUGACACCAGGAUGGCACUGGGAUGGACAGGGGACACUGGGAUGGCACCAGGUGACACCAAAAUGGCAGCAGGUGACACCAGGAUGGCACCAGGAUGGCACCAGGACAGACAGGUGACACGAGAAUGGCACCAGGUGACACCAGGACAGACUGUGGGCACACGGUGCUGUC